AAAAAGACAAACCAUGGGUUUACGUGUCCAACGUUUGACCGUCCGUCUUAUUUGAAAAAAUUAAAAAGACAAGUCACGCAUUAAGUAUUAAUCAUGUUUUAUUAUCUAACAAUAAUAAAAAUACUAAUUAUAAAAAAAUUUCAUAUAAGACGGACAGUCAAACGUUGGACACGGAAACCCAGGGUUUGCCUUUUU
rnacentral:pre_miRNA from 1 species